CGCGGCCUAUCAGCUUGUUGGUGGGGUAUGGCCUACCAUGGCUUCGACGGGUAGCCGGCCUGAGAGGGUGACCGGCCACACUGGGACUGAGACACGGCCCAGACUCCUACGGGAGGCAGCAGUGGGGAAUAUUGCACAAUGGGCGGAAGCCUGAUCCAGCGACGCCGCGUGAGGGAUGACGGCCUUCGGGUUGUAAACCUCUUUCAGCAGGGACGAAGCGCAAGUGACGGUACCUGCAGAAGAAGCACCGGCCAACUACGUGCCAGCAGCCGCGGUAAUACGUAGGGUGCGAGCGUUGUCCGGAAUUAUUGGGCGUAAAGAGCUCGUAGGCGGUGUGUCGCGUCGGCUGUGAAAACCUGGGGCUUAACUCUGGGCUUGCGGUCGAUACGGGCAAACUAGAGUUGGCAGGGGAGACUGGAAUUCCUGGUGUAGCGGUGAAAUGCGCAAAUAUCAGGAGGAACACCGGUGGCGAAGGCGGGUCUCUGGGACAUACUGACGCUGAGGACGCAAAGCGUGGGGAGCGAACAGGAU
rnacentral:rRNA from 1 species